CCUCAGCAGCGUGCAGCUAGGAAAUUUUAUUUUAUUUUUAAAUCCAAACUUCUAUCAUUAUCAUGUAAAUAAUGCAAUACAUUUCAAAAAAAUUAAAAAAUAUAUGGGUGGAUGGGUGCCAAUGGAAAUAUAUUUCCAUACAUACACAUGGAUAUGUAUGUACAAAAAGAAAGAAGAAAAGAACAUAUAUAAUAAAAUUCAGUAAGAAAAUCUAAUUAACACUGAUAUUGAAUUAACAUAAAAAGUGUAAAUAAAUUAAUUAACGAAGAGAUGACAAAAAUGGAGGGGCGGGGGAGUAUUUAUCUGAUCAUUGGUCUGAUCAUUGACCUGCUUGUUGAUGCCACCUUAAUGAUGUACAGUGGUACCUCGGGUUACAUACGCUUCAGGUUACAGACUCCGCUAACCCAGAAAUAGUGCUUCAGGUUAAGAACUUUGCUUCAGGAUGAGAACAGAAAUCGUGCUCUGGCGGCACGGCGGCAGCAGGAGGCCCCAUUAACUAAAGUGGUGCUUCAGGUUAAGAACAGUUUCAGGUUAAGAACGGACCUCCGGAAUGAAUUAAGUACUUAACCCGAGGUACCACUGUACAAUGUUCCCAGUAAUAUUAUAAAAUUUUAGAGUUGGAAGAGACCCCAAAGGUAAUCUAGUCCAACUUCCUGCAUUGCAGGAAUCACAUCUGACUAACGGCCAAUGUACAAUAUACAAGCAAUAUCCGUGGAAAUAAAAAUACAACCUGAAACCACUAAAACAACUAUAUAAAAAUAUACAAAAAACAAAUUAAACAUGUACCAGAAUGAACCAGGACAAAAAAAUAAUGACUCUUGAGGGUAAGCAUUAUAAAUAUGACAUGGUACAUUGUGCAAAUGUGUUCAUUUUGCAAAUUGCAGACUUUGUCACCCAAAGAGUUCUGCCCUGUAACCUACCAUUCUUUGCUUCUGGAAACUUCUUGGCACCUAAGCCUUUUAGUACAUGGCCGUGUUUAAUGUGUGUGCAUUUGUGUUGCAUGUGCGUGUUGUAAAAUGUACGUGGGGUGCGUGAUCAGGAGUUUGGGGGUUAUUUUCCUCGGCAACAUAUACAGACUCUACUGAAUGGCAAGUAGACAUCUUCCCGUUGUUAUAGCAACCAAUUAGUAUGCAUGCCUGUUUAGGAAAUAUGUGGAUUUGAAAAUUGGAGACUGGAUUUCAAAUUGGCCUUCCUUCUUGGUUUUGAAAUCAGUUUCUUGCUUCAGUUGCUCCACCAUGAUGACCAAGAGUAGCUUACUCACCACUGAGUAGACCAGAUUUUCUGUAUCUCUUACGUUAGAUCUGUUCUAGGCAUCUGCAUUACUUGAGGAAUAAGGCUCUGAGAUUCCAGUUCUCAUUCAUUGUCAUCAGGCAUCUCCCAAUGCUAUGGGGAGAUGAUAUACAGGGCUCCAGUCUCCCCAAGUACAGCAAAGGCAACUAUAGGACAGAUGGCAUUCCUGGCAGCGCUGAUUUUCAUCCUAGGCUCAAGGCCAGAUCCAUUUUAUAUUAUUUUUUUAAGGGAAGAAGCAUUGGCUCUGUGGACAUCCUUUUCGGGAAGGACUUGAGGGAAGUCAAUUAAACGAAACAACACUUCUGAAAUUGCGCACGAGACAGGCAGUGGGGUGUUGACAAAACUGCCAACAGUAAUGUAUUAAUGGCGGCCGGACCUGGAGUCUCAAGUGCAAAAUAAAGGAAAGUAUACGCAGCAACUAUAAUUAAAAUGAAUACAUGUGGUAAAUUUUGCAGGAACAAUGCCUGACUGAGAGCAGGCAGGAAUCUCUUCUCUUGCCCAUGUGGCUUUUUGUCUGAAUUGGCAAAUGCAUUAUUUCAAAGCUUCUAAAGUCUUCUGCUGUCAAUGAACUUUUCCCACACACAUUAAUGUUAAUUGCAAGGGGUUUUGGAGGGUUAUUCUUGUGGGAUAACCAGCCUCAUAUAACCAAUAUGCUUAGGCCCAAUUAAUGCAUGAAGGGGUUAAUACCAUAGCUUAGGUUUCCUGCCAGGCUUCCUGCUAUGUCACUUCCUCUUACCUUGGGAGGAAAUAGCUAAUCAAGCCUAAUGCUUCCCCUCUCAGUCUACCUGAGAAACUCAGCGAGUGAAGAGGUCCGAGCUGAUUGCUCUAGCUCAGCCACAUGACUCUCACCGGUCAAUAAUCUAGGAACUUCUGCCAUUUUGUAACAAAGCUGAGUUUUUCUGCUUGUGCACGUUUUCUGACUGAUGUAUCAAAAAGCACAUUAAUCUGAGCUUUGAAGAUUUUGUAAGUAGUCCAUUUUUUAAAAUUUACCAAAUGUGAGGUCUUUUCUUAUGCUGGGGGAAGCGGGGAACCUUGGAAAGGCCUGUUUUAAAAGUUUAACAGCCUAUAUGUCCAUGCUUUACUUUGCUGCAUUUUUUGUGACUUUAAAUCUCUGCUGGGGUUCCCAUACCAAACAGUACUAGCCCCAAACUUGGAUCUUGCCCAUCCGGGAAUUCUCUCUCUCUCUCUCUGUGUGUACACACACACACACACACACACACACACACACACACUGCAUCAACAAUUCUAGGGCACACUUAAGCUCAUUCAAGGUCUGUCAAGCCUACUUGUUACCCAUGCAAACCACAAAUGCCUCCAUUUUCUCUGUGGCUGCUCAUUGCCAAAGACAGUAAUGGAAAUGUUUUUAUGAUCAGCCUCAGAUUUGCCCAGAGGAACCCCUGACUACCUCCCAAGAAACUCCCAGGUCCUAAAAACAGGGUAGCCACCAAUGGUAUUCCAUCCACUGGUGAAAGGCAUCCAUUAAAGGAACAAUUAGAAAAGUAAUUUUUGAUUAUUCAUCUUCUGCUGCAGCUGCCCCAUGUUAUGAAUUCUGCUCGGGGGGCGGCAGCGGUUAACCCCUUAGAUAGAAUAAAUAUCAGGGGAGAGGGCUGAAGGCGAAAGAGGUGUUUUGGUUUUAUGAUAAAGAUUGUCUUCUACAAUAGACGAGUAUAGGACCAUCACUUUCUGCACUUCCUAGUCUGGUCCAGGUGUUUUGGCAAGCUCAGGGUUGGAGGACUUCAAAC